GACAGAGGGUGCAAGCGUUGCUCGGAAUUACUGGGCGUAAAGCGCGUGUAGGCUGACCGGUAAGUCGGGCGUGAAAGCCCUGGGCUCAACCCAGGAACUGCACUCGAAACUCCCGGUCUAGAGUGGUGGAGAGGGAAGUGGAAUUCCUGGUGUAGAGGUGAAAUUCGUAGAUAUCAGGAGGAACACCAGUGGCGAAGGCGGCGUCCUGGACACCAACUGACGCUGAGACGCGAAAGCGUGGGGAGCAAACAGG
rnacentral:rRNA from 1 species